UUUCCGUAGGUGAACCUGCGGAAGGAUCAUUUUUGAAACUUGAAUCGUAGCAUUUAGAACUGUUGCUGACCUGUUAAAGGGUAUGUGCACGUUCGACGUGUUGCGUUCUAUUCAUCCACCUGUGCACCUUUGUAGAUCUGAUUAACUUUUGCUCUCGAGCGGUUAGAAGGGUUGCUUUCGAGCUCCCUUUGUCUAUCAAGUCUAUGUCUAUAUAAUCUCUUGUAUGUCUAGAAUGUCUUGUUUAUGGGACGCAAGUCCUUUAAAUCUUAUACAACUUUCAACAACGGAUCUCUUGGCUCUC
rnacentral:misc_RNA from 1 species